GGGAGCAAGAACGGCCCGGGGGCGCGGCCGCACGGACGGCGGCGGAAGGGGACCCCACACCGCGCGCCCUUCUGGUCCUGACCCACCACCGGCAAUGGCGAUCGGUCGAGUUACUCCACUAGCGAGCAUCGAGGCAAUCAAGAGAUCGAUAGGGGAAUAAUGGAGGGAGGGGACGAUCGCCGUCUCUCCUCCGCGCCGCCCCGCGCUUCUUCGGUUCGGUUCGGUUUGGUUGUCCUUAUAUAUACGUAAUUAGAAACAGAAAAGCAAAGGAGAGAGAAAAAGAUACUGCCCGCCCAACUAGAGAAAGGAAGGAAGGUUAUAGAUAAACAGAUAGAAAAGCGAGCUGAGGUCGGCACCCUCGCGCGCAUCCCCCCUCAACCACCGGAGGGAGGGAGAGAGGGAGCCGGCCCGGGGCCGCGCGCUCGCUGGACUGCAGUAAGCAACUUGUCUGUCCCCAUCCCUCUCUCACCAUACCAUGGCGCCAUUUGGUACGGUAGGUGUGCAUGAUGGCAUGCCUGAUCAUCUCCUCCUCCUCCUCCUCCUAGUCAUCAUAUUCAUAGAUGAUGCUGGUGAACUUGAGCUAGCAGGAAAUGGAUUUAAUUCUUUCUUUUUUUUUGACAUUGGUUGGUUAACCGUUGACAGUGAGUAGUACUGAUAAUUAUGUCUUUUUUUUCUCCCUGCUACAUUAUAGUAAUGUACUCCUGUUGUUUGGU
rnacentral:lncRNA from 7 species